UCCUCAGUUGCCAGCACUUCGGGUGGGAACUCUGGGGCGACUGCCGGUGACAAACCGGAGGAAGGUGGGGACGACGUCAAGUCAUCAUGGCCCUUACGGCCAGGGCUACACACGUGCUACAAUGGUAUAUACAAACGGAAGCGAAGUCGCGAGGUGGAGCAAAUCUGAGAAAGUAUAUCGUAGUCCGGAUUGGAGUCUGCAACUCGACUCCAUGAAGUCGGAAUCGCUAGUAAUCGUGAAUCAGAACGUCACGGUGAAUACGUUCCCGGGCCUUGUACACACCGCCCGUCACACCAUGGGAGUGGGUUGCUCCAGAAGUGGUUAGCCUAACCUUCGGGAGGGCGAUCACCACGGAGUGAUUCAUGACUGGGGUGAAGUCGUAACAAGGUAGCACUAGGGGAACCUGGGGCUGGAUCACCU